rnacentral:rRNA from 1 species
UACGUAGGGCGCAAGCGUUGUCCGGAAUUAUUGGGCGUAAAGAGCUCGUAGGUGGUUUGUCGCGUCUGCCGUGAAAGCCCGGGGCUUAACUCCGGGUCUGCGGUGGAUACGGGCAGACUAGAGGCAGGUAGGGGAGAACGGAAUUCCCGGUGUAGCGGUGAAAUGCGCAGAUAUCGGGAGGAACACCGGUGGCGAAGGCGGUUCUCUGGGCCUGUACUGACGCUGAGGAGCGAAAGCCAGGGGAGCAAACGGG